GCAGGAGGGUCGUGAAGCUGUGUCUAGGCAGCUGUGGCCACAAGCUGUAAGACCCAAGUGUCUUGGGCAGAGCUUUGGAAGGCAGGGUUCCUAAAGAUGGGGUCACAUCACCCAUGUCUCUGUUCCAGAAAGUCCAAAAGGCAACACAGGUGGCAAGGUUGUGUCCUGCCACCUCCACCACUGAAUACUUCAUAAAACUCAGCCCGGCAAACAUUUCCCUCUAUAAAGUUAGCCCUAUACCUGCCCUAUAGCAAAUGUAUCUUGUCCUAUCAGCUCACUGAUUUAAAACAACAACAACAACAAAAACCAAACAACAACAACUAGAGAGAGAGGUGGCUCAGCUGUGAGAGCACUGGCUGUUCGUUCAAAGAACUCAAGUUUGGUUCCCAGCAUCCACAGGACAGCCCACGACUGUCUGUAACUCCAGUUCCAGGGGAUCUGAUGCCCUUUUCUGGCUUCCACAGUUACCAAGCACUUGAGGUACACAUAUAUGCAUACAGACAAGAUAGCCACAAACACAUUUUUUUAAAAAAGAUAACAAAAGAUUGGGAGCUCUUUCCUCCUGACCCUCUCAGACCUCCCUUCUAGCCCAGGGAUCUCCAGUGGCCACCCCAGGCCACCAUCAGAGAAGCUUCUUUGUGCAGUAGAGGGGAACUGACAUAGACCUACAUCUGGCCGAUGCAGAGGAGAGACGCUGGAGCACUCUGUCCUAAAUCAAAGCCUUCCCCUCAUGACUCAAGGAUCUGUAAGGGAGACGAAAAGAUUCUAAGAGCCAGGAAUGAUGGAUGUCUCCAAAGAAACUGGACUGACAGACAUGUGAACCCAGAGACCUGCAGCGUGUACAAGGCCUGCCCAAGUUAAAGUCAGACCGGGUCCUAGUGUUGAGAGGGGAACAUAGACAAAGGCUCUCAACCCCACUAAGAUGCUAUCUGAUACCCUUGAGCCUCAGGGCAGGCACCAUGCUCACCAGUAACUGGCCAACACAAAGACCGUGGUAAUUUUGUAAACUUUUUGUCUCAUUUUGCUUUUGUUUAGAAACCUUUUUUUGUCUAGUUGAUCAGUCUUCAUUUUGUGUGUGUGUGUUUUCCUGGGGUGUUUUAUUUUGUGUUCUUCUGGGGGUGGAGGGGUUGAUUGCUUUUUUUUAAAGAGUCAGAGGACAUGAAGUUGGGUGAGGAGAGGAUCUGGAAGCAGUUGGGGAGGGGGAAAGCAUAACCAAAAUAUAUUGUAUGAAAAAAUUUUCAAUU
rnacentral:lncRNA from 1 species